UACGGAGGGGGCUAGCGUUGUUCGGAAUUACUGGGCGUAAAGCGCACGUAGGCGGCUUUGUAAGUUAGAGGUGAAAGCCCGGGGCUCAACUCCGGAAUUGCCUUUAAGACUGCAUCGCUAGAAUUGUGGAGAGGUAAGUGGAAUUCCGAGUGUAGAGGUGAAAUUCGUAGAUAUUCGCAAGAACACCAGUGGCGAAGGCGGCUCACUGGCCCGGUACUGACGCUGAGGCACGAAAGCGUGGGGAGCAAACAGG
rnacentral:rRNA from 1 species